rnacentral:rRNA from 2 species
CCACAUAAGCAGGUGAAACUUCUUAGAGGAACUGGCGCCCGAAAAGGCGCACGAGAAAGAGCAAUAACAGGUCUGUGAUGCCCUAAGAUGUCCGGGGCCGCACGCGUGCUACAAUGACGAUGCUACUGAGCAUGAUUAACUUGUCCGAAAGGAUUGGUGAAACUGUUCAAUCAUCGUCGUGACUGGGAUUGGGGUUUGCAAUUGUCCCCCAUGAACCAGGAAUUCCUAGUAAGCACAAGUCAUAAGCUUGUGCUGAUUACGUCCCUGCCCUUUGUACACACCGCCCGUCGCUACUACCGAUUGAAUGGUUUAGCAAGGACAUUGGAUUGAGCCCUUGCGGUUUCGGCUGCUUGGGUUUGAGAAGAUGUCCGAACUUGAUCAUUUAGAGGAAGUAAAAGUCGUAACAAGGUUUCCGUAGGUGAACCUGCGGAAGGAUCAUUA